GACGAACGCUGGCGGCGUGCUUAACACAUGCAAGUCGAACGGAAAGGCCCUGCUUUUGUGGGGUGCUCGAGUGGCGAACGGGUGAGUAACACGUGAGUAACCUGCCCUUGACUUUGGGAUAACUUCAGGAAACUGGGGCUAAUACCGGAUAGGAGCUCCUGCUGCAUGGUGGGGGUUGGAAAGUUUCGGCGGUUGGGGAUGGACUCGCGGCUUAUCAGCUUGUUGGUGGGGUAGUGGCUUACCAAGGCUUUGACGGGUAGCCGGCCUGAGAGGGUGACCGGCCACAUUGGGACUGAGAUACGGCCCAGACUCCUACGGGAGGCAGCAGUGGGGAAUAUUGCACAAUGGGCGGAAGCCUGAGGCAGCAACGCCGCGUGCGGGAUGAAGGCUUUCGGGUUGUAAACCGCUUUCGCCUGUGACGAAGCGUGAGUGACGGUAAUGGGUAAAGAAGCACCGGCUAACUACGUG
rnacentral:rRNA from 1 species